UACGGGGGGGGCAAGCGUUGUUCGGAAUUACUGGGCGUAAAGGGCUCGUAGGCGGCCAACUAAGUCAGACGUGAAAUCCCCAGGCUCAACCUGGGAACUGCGUCCGAUACUGGAUGGCUUGAAUUCGGGAGAGGGAUGCAGAAUUCCAGGUGUAGCGGUGAAAUGCGUAGAUAUCUGGAGGAAUACCGGUGGCGAAGGCGGCAUCCUGGACCGACAUUGACGCUGAACGGCGAAAGCUAGGGGAGCAAACGGG
rnacentral:rRNA from 1 species